AGAUCAGACCCCUCGCCGCCUCCCCCUUCUCUUCUUGCCACUCUCCUUGCUGGAUCGGACCCCCCUGCCUCUCCAUUCUCCUCCUGCUCCUUCCCUUGCCAGAUCGGCCCCCUGAUCCCGCUUCUCACCCUGUCCCUCCCCUUAUCGUAUCGGACCCACGACGACCUCUCCAUUCUCUCUCCACCCCUCCUUUUGUAGGAUCAGACCACUCGUCGUCUCCCCCUUCUCCCCUCGCCCCUCUUUUUG
rnacentral:lncRNA from 1 species